CUGGAAAUUUUAUUUCUAGUGAUUGGAAUGAUGGGAAUUUAAACCCCUUUCAGAGUAACAAUUGGAGGGCAAGUCUGGUGCCAGCAGCCGCGGUAAUUCCAGCUCCAAUAGCGUAUAUUAAAGUUGUUGCAGUUAAAAAGCUCGUAGUUGGAUGUCUGCUGGAAGCAAUCAGUCCGCCCUAUUUGUAGGGUGUGCACUUGAUGAAUUCUGGCAUCUAUAUCCCAAUAAUAUGAUGGUGUAUACCCUGUGUACACCCAUCUAUAUUGGGAUAAUACCGUUACUUUGAGAAAAUUAGAGUGUUUGAAGCAGGCUAAUUGCCUUGAAUACUGCAGCAUGGAAUAACAAUAUAGGAUUUCGGUUCUAUUUUGUUGGUUUCUAGGACUGAAAUAAUGAUUAAUAGGGACAGUUGGGGGCAUUCGUAUUUAACUGUCAGAGGUGAAAUUCUUAGAUUUGUUAAAGACGAACUACUGCGAAAGCAUUUGCCAAAGAUGUUUUCAUUAAUCAAGAACGAAAGUUAGGGGCUCGAAGACGAUCAGAUACCGUCGUAGUCUUAACCAUAAACUAUGCC
rnacentral:rRNA from 1 species